GAUGAACGCUGGCGGCGUGCCUAAUACAUGCAAGUCGAACGCAGUGGGGACGGGUGAGUAACACGUGGGUAACCUCCCAUCAGAGGGGAUAACACUUGGAAACAGGUGCUAAACCGAUACUGAUGGAUGGACCCGCGGUGCAUUAGCUAGUUGGGGAGGUAACGGCGCACCAAGGCCACGAUGCAUAGCGGAACUGUGAGGAUGAGCAGCAACACUGGGACUGAGACACGGCCCAGACUCCUACGGGAGGCAGCAGUGGGGAAUAUUGCACAAUGGGCGCAAGCCUGAUGCAGCCAUGCCGCGUGUAUGAAGAAGGCCCUAGGGUUGUAAAGUAUUUUCAGUCGGGAGGCGUUACCGACAGAAGAAGCACCGGCUAACUCCGUGCCAGCAGCCGCGGUAAUAC
rnacentral:rRNA from 1 species